rnacentral:rRNA from 1 species
UUGAACGCUGGCGGCAGGCUUAACACAUGCAAGUCGAACGGUAACAGGAAAUAGCUUGCUAUUUUGCUGACGAGUGGCGGACGGGUGAGUAAUGCUUGGGAAUUUGCCUUAACGUGGGGGACAACAGUUGGAAACGACUGCUAAUACCGCAUAAUCUCUUCGGAGCAAAGGUGGCCUCUAUUUAUAUGCUAUCGCGUUAAGAUGAGCCCAAGUGGGAUUAGCUGGUUGGUAAGGUAACGGCUUACCAAGGCGACGAUCCCUAGCUGGUCUUAGAGGAUGACCAGCCACACUGGAACUGAGACACGGUCCAGACUCCUACGGGAGGCAGCAGUGGGAAUAUUGCACAAUGGGGGAAACCCUGAUGCAGCCAUGCCGCGUGUGUGAAGAAGGCUUUCGGGUUGUAAAGCACUUUCAGCGAGGAGGAAAGGGUAUUGCCUAAUACGCAAUAUCUGUGACGUUACUCGCAGAAGAAGCACCGGCUAACUCCGUG